ACAUCCGGCGGCCACGUACCCGGCGAUCACGGGGCACGAUUCACGCGCGCGCUUCAACGAGCCGAAUUGCGUUACGUUACGUUACGUUACGUUACGUUACAGCGCGCCACGCCGAGCCGUGCCGCGUCACAUCGCGUUGUGCUGCCUUGCGUCGCGGCCGUCGAGACUGAGAGUGACGAUCGACGGUCACAACAACAAUAACAACAACGACGACGUCAGUCAGUCGCGACGGCGACUGCGACGUCGUUCGGUCGGCCGCUCGCUCGCGCGCGAUCACGAGCCGCGGUGUUUGUCGUACGCGUGUCCGGGGACCGAGGUGUUCUCUGGUGGAUUCGAGGCGUGCCGAGACAUAGAGAAAAA